CUAGAUCUCAUCCUCUGCUCACUCUCUCUCUCUCUCUCAAUGGCGAUUCGAGAUCUAGGGUUUCUCCCAGAUCGAAUGAUGUACAAUGUUCUAAUGCAAAAACGGAUUUCGUGGCUUUUAAACACCCUUAAAUCUUUUGGGCGGCCUUUUGAAUUUCAAAAGCCCUAAACAUUUUCAGAUCUGAACAAAAACCAACCACGAAUACACUUUCAGAUCUCACAUCUCCUCCUUGGUUUCUGCGACACGCUAUCUUUGUCCCUUCUCUGGUUCUAGAGAUGCUGAUCGUCGUGUCAAGGAAGAGGUAUGCGACGAAGCUGCGGUGGUGGAACCUCUGAAGAUGGACAGUGAUGGCGGCGGUUAGGGUUCGAGCCGCGAAACCAACUUUUUGAGAUUUGCUCUUUGCUUUGGAGAUUCUGUUCAACGAGAUAGUAAGCGUUCAAUUUCAUAGUCCUUUUUUAUGAUUUAUUUCAUUUGUUUUUUUAGAUCAUGAACACUUUCAGAUCUUGAACAAAACAACCCA